CGCAGACAAAGGCACCACCGUUACUUUCUUUUACAGACCUGCGCGUAUGUUAUUUGAGAUUGUCUUUGAGAGUGUUAUCUGAGUUAUUUGAAUUUUUUUAGGAAUUUUUUUAGAGGCGGUAGGGAUGUAGGUAUAAAAAUAUAUGGGUUUGUUUUGGUUUUUUUUUUUAGUUCCCAUCAGGUUUUGGCACUUUAAGUGCUCACCCACAGCCAAACGCACAAGGCGUUUUCAUUUACAGAAGGAAACGACUAGCAGCGAGGGUGGGUUUGUUUUGUUUAUGUUAAUUUUUGCAGGAUUUCGUGGCCCAACCAGUGCUAUUAGAAAAUAUCCAUUGGACCCAAAUAACCCUCAGGCACUUUUAUCGAAGACCUUCAGGAAUCCCACCCGGAGCUCGCCUGGCUGCCAGCCUUCGGGGCACCAUCCAUCAGCCAAAAGGGGACAGAAAUGAGUACGUUGAAUCUACUAACAAUUCUUUUAUUUGCCUAAAAAGUAAGGUUUUUAUUUUUGAACCAACAGCGUGCCUUUGAAGCUCGUCUCUCUGCAAUUUGCAGUGCCAUGCUUUGCCGGCCGCAGGACCACAACCCAUCCCAUCUCCCACUGGCCAGCAAGUCCAUUUUUUGAGGUUUGGUUUUUUCUUUUUUUUUCCCCCACAAAUAUCUGGAAAAGCCGGAGCAGCCCUGAGCAAGAGGCACUGCAGGGAGAGGACAGCCCCUGUCCGUGCUGCUCCAACCACCCACCCUCUGGAAGGACAGGUUUUACCAUGGGUUUCAAAUCCUACCUGCUUUAAAAUUGCCUAUGAAAAAAAAAAAGGCAUAUAUAUGAUUUUUUUUCCCCAACCCAAUUACUCACGGCUAAGCCUCGAGAAGCAGAGCUAACCAAAACCCGACUAUUCAAUUAAAAACCCACCUGGGGGAAGAAAUGUUUUAUAAGCCACUUCCCAGCCACUCGCCGCAGCCUCUCUGCAUCUCGUCAGCCGGGUUUUUGGGCAGGCGGCGGGUGCCUCUCUGCGCCCCUGGGUGCAGGGCAGCCGCAGGGAGGCCCUGCAGAGCCCGUUGAUUUAAUUAACGGGGCGCCUGGAGCUACUAAAAGCAGCUUCUGCUCAGCAUCCCGCUGUGCAAAAUUACCAUUUCCCGAUCCUCAGCAUCCUGGGCGGACCUCAGGGGCUAAAGCAUCAUCAGGAACCAGGGGGAAGGAGUUAACAGAGACGCGAACAAAAGCUGUUUUUCAACCCCAAGGGCCAUACGGCAGCUGGCUUUGCCCUUCCCCGGCUCAGAGGGCGCUUUCGUGCUUACACGUGAAGAGCCGCCAAAGCGAAAUGGUGCCAGCAAAUGAAAGGAGAAAUUGUAACUACGCUUUGCACUGCAGCAGCACCCAUGUUUCAGUGCUCGGCUGGCUCCGUGCACGCCAGCCGGGGAGACCAUGAACCCCACGAGCAGCGUUGGGUGCCCAGGAGGUGGCCGUGGGGCUACGAUCAUCUGUCCAGGCCUGGAAGGAGGUCCUGCCAUCCUGAUGGAGGGUCUGGAGCUGUGCCUUAAGACACCCUAAGUCUCUCAUCCCCGUUAUUUUCACGUCCCCCAUCUUCGUUAAAGCCACCCUGCUCUGGAUGGGGCUCUAUGGAUGGAUCGCGGGCACUGCCACCUGCCGGCCCCGCACCCCCCCCAGAGCCCAAUGGGGAGCGAGCAGGAGGGGCCUGGAGGGAAAAAAAAACAUUUUCAGCAACAGCUGGAAGUGUGGAAGCAACAAUGAGAGCGGCUGAGCUCUUGGCCAAGGGAAAGCACGUCCGGCUGCUCCUCAAGAGAUGAUUUUCUGCCCUUUGCUUACACAAAGCACAACUUGACCAUGAGAGUUUUCUGACCAGCCAACUAACAGCAAAGCUGAACUCUCAACUGUAGGCAACUUUAAUUUCUUCCAGAAAUUGGAAGACCCUUGGCCAUCCACAGACACGAGCUGCCAAUCACUGGCCAAGUUCUUUAAUUUCUUCCGCUCUGUCUCACAGAGCCUUGGCCAUCCAUAGACACGAGCUGCCGACCACCGGCCGAGUCCAACCCUGCCAACCGCACGGGUCCUGAGCUGCCGUGUCUCGCGGUGCUCAGAGAACGGUCCUGCGAGACUCCAUCCAUCAUCUGUCCUCACAGGCCAAGCACCAAGACACGUGGCGUGGAGGCCCUCCUCAUCGCAGGUGCACUGUAGAGGGCUACCAAAGGGAUCCAUUUGCUGGGACAUGAAUAAACCAGACUGGUUGGGACCAGGCUGCUGCUUCCGAAACCCUGUCAGGAGGGCUCAGAAUCCCAACAGGGAGCAGCAGUGUUGAAGCCCAGGGCUGAGUGUGCUCGUCCCUGCCACAGCCACGGGGGAGGCGGGGGGGGACCUAAGAGACCUGAAUGUCACCGACCCCGAAUCAGACCCAAGGAUGCUGCAGCAGGAGGAGGCCGAGCAUCGCGGGGACCACGUGGGGACGAACACCCGCGGGCAGGACGAGGAUGGGGCUGGGCCGCCGGUGGGAGCCAGCGAGGACUGAGUCAUGGUGUGACGGGAUCUGAACGCUUUACACCACUGCAAAGCCUAAGCAAUACUUCUGGGGGUUGUUUUUUUUUUAACACCACUGCAACUGAGACUGGAAAGUCAUUCCUCGCCUCGGUGCGGCCGGUGUUACGCUAUGGACACUGGUUGGGGUUCACAGGAUCACCAGCUCUCCCUUUUGCCACGAGUAUCAGGAUUUUUCUCCUGUCCUCCCCAAAUCCCUUCCUUCAGAAGGGGGGAAAAAAAUAAAAUAAUACCACAAGGCUUUCCUUUUGCUUCGUAAAUUAAAAGAAAAAAAAAUGAUUUCUUCCUCUGCAAGGCUGCAGGGUGAGCCUGGAGACGUGGUAAAGGGGUAGCCAGAAGGGACCUGACGACCCGAGAUAACGAAGUAGAUGAUAACGAGAUUAUAAGAUAAUGCAUCAAUCUGUUGGCUGUAAGAUAAUAGAUAAAUAACCUGAAGACACACCGUGAGCGUAUUCACAGCCGUGAGCGCAGCCCGGCAGCGGGGGAGCAGCGGGGCAGGGUACCAGGGGCUGCGGGAGCCGGCAGCAUCAGCACGUUCUGUGACUGCUGGACCCGGCUGCAUCUCCCAGCCCAGCGGGCAAAACACGCCGCCGCUGAGCUCCUUCCCCGCAGGAUGCCCGCAGCAAUGGCAAAGCCUUCCCCGGGAGAUUUGGAAAGGGUGCCACAGGGUGGAUAUAUUUGGGAUGAAGGUGCCUGGCUCAGCUGGAGUGACAC